AUUGAACGCUGGCGGCAUGCCUUACACAUGCAAGUCGAACGGCAGCACGGGAGCAAUCCUGGUGGCGAGUGGCGAACGGGUGAGUAAUAUAUCGGAACGUGCCCAGUCGUGGGGGAUAACGUAGCGAAAGCUACGCUAAUACCGCAUACGAUCUAUGGAUGAAAGCGGGGGAUCGCAAGACCUCGCGCGAUUGGAGCGGCCGAUAUCAGAUUAGGUAGUUGGUGAGGUAAAGGCUCACCAAGCCAACGAUCUGUAGCUGGUCUGAGAGGACGACCAGCCACACUGGAACUGAGACACGGUCCAGACUCCUACGGGAGGCAGCAGUGGGGGAAUUUUUGGGACAAUGGACGCAAGUCUGAUCCAGCCAUUCCGCGUGCAGGAUGAAGGCCCUCGGGUUGUAAACUGCUUUUGUACGGAACGAAACGGUGAGCUCUAAUACAGUUUGCUAAUGACGGUACCGUAAGAAUAAGC
rnacentral:rRNA from 1 species